rnacentral:rRNA from 1 species
UACGUAGGGCGCGAGCGUUGUCCGGAAUUAUUGGGCGUAAAGAGCUCGUAGGUGGCUUGUUGCGUCUGCCGUGAAAGCCCGUGGCUUAACUACGGGUCUGCGGUGGAUACGGGCAGGCUAGAGGCUGGUAGGGGCAAGCGGAAUUCCUGGUGUAGCGGUGAAAUGCGUAGAUACUGGGAGGAACACCAGUGGCGAAGGCGGCUACCUGGACCGGUUCUGACGCUGAGGCGCGAAAGCGUGGGUAGCAAACAGG